rnacentral:lncRNA from 1 species
ACUGACUGUUACUUCACAUGUAAAACAUAGAAGUUCCACAGCAGUAAUUUAGAGUCUGCAGAUGUGUUUAAUCUUACAACUCGUCUAUAGCAACAUGUAUUAUUGUUGAGCAUAAUUUAUUUCCAUCUAGAUGGAUUGCCAAACUGCAGCCAAAAGUUUCUCUCUUUCCUAGAGCAUUUUACCACACAAUUUCUAGCAUACAUCUCAAAUAAAAACAGUGCCUCGCUACUAAAUGUAUGGAACACUGUGUCUCUGCUGAUGACAGUAACUCUUCAUUGUAGGAAAUUAUGUGUUUUACUCAACAGGACUAAUGCAUUUUCCCAAUAAAAUAAAUGCUUUUUCAAAAGCUAAAAGUUAAGCUCUUAAAAAACAAAAAAAAAAGUUUUAGUGCAUGAUCUUGAAAAACAACCUAAAACAACUGUAUAAAACUGAGACGCAUGUUUACUUCAUGAAUAACAGUAACAGGCUUCUACUUUAACCUUAAUGGCUUUUAAUUGUGUAGAAGAAGGUUUAUAGUUUCUGUGCUUUUUACUUUAACUCUUUUUUGCACACAAAUUCAUUUUAAUGAGGAAAAUGUGAACAUAUGCGCUGUAUUUUGUCAUUUGCUUUAACCAUGCUUGCCACAUCACAACUAAUUUUUCUCUGAGAAGUUAUUUCUGGACAAACAAAUACGCAGUGUUUUUUUGUUUUUCUUUUUUUUUCUUUCAGCAUAUUUUCCACUGGCUUUACACUGGAAGCAGAAAUGAAAAUGGAACUCUCUAAAUCCCCUGCAGCUCCAUGCUGUUCCCUUGGGCCCUGGAGGAGCAGAGCUCAGCGCUGUUCCCAUUGCUCCCUGUGAGGAGCUGUAGGCCGCCAUGAGGCCUCUCCUCGGCCUCUUCUGCUCUGGGCUGAACAAACCACGGGAUCUCAGCCCCUACUCACACGUCUUGCCCUCCAGGCCCUUCUUCAUCUUUGUUGCCCCAGUUUGGAUACUAAUAGUUUUAUGUCUUUCCUAUAUUGUGGCACCCAAAACUGCACCCAGUGUCCGGGGUGAGGCUGCACCAGCGCUGUGCAGAAGCAAUCAGAGACAUGUCUGGAACAUGGAACAGUCAGGAAAUUCUGAGAGCUUCUUCUUGAUUUGUCGAAUCGCCCGAUACUUUUGUCUGCUUUCUUCUUCCAAAAAAAUGGAAUUAGAAAUUAGUGAGGCAUCACUCCUUUCACUCAAAGGCAUAUCUCCUUUCUACAUCCUAGCUGUGACCAAAGCAGCCAUCAGCUCUGAAAAAUGCUCUAAUUCAGACUAUGGAGAGGAC